GCGCACGCCGGCGUCGUUGCAUUUGGCACCCCGAGCCACACGAACCCGAUGCUGGAGCUGGGCCGCCGCCUGGCGCGCCACGGCCUCCGCCCCAUGUUCGUCUCCACCCACCACGUGCUCUCCUCCACCCCACCCCCCGGCGCGCCCUUCCGCGUGGCCGCCAUCUCCGACGGAUUCGACGCCAAUGGCUUCGCCUCGUGCCCGGACCCUGCCGAGUACUUCUCCCGGCUGGAGGCCGCGGGGUCCGAGGCGCUGCGCGACCUCCUGCUAUCGGAGGAGACGGCCGCGGUGCGCGUGCUGGUGUAUGACUCGCACCUGACGUGGGCGGGGCGGGUGGUGCGGGCCGCCGGCGUGCCCGUCGCGGCGUUCUUCUCGCAGCCGUGCGCGGUGAACGUCGUCUACGGGGAGGUGUGGGCGGGGCGGCUGGUGCUGCCGGUGACGGACGGGCGUGAGCUGCUGGCGCGCGGAGCACUCGGCGUGGAGCUGGGGCUGGAGGACGUGCCGCCGUCCCCGGUCCAAGGCAUAGCCGCGGCCCUACUGCCACGUACGGCCACGAGAAGCAGCGGUGGCGGCAGCGGCGCACGGGCACGCGGUGGCUGA
rnacentral:rRNA from 1 species